rnacentral:rRNA from 1 species
AUGAUCUACGCCACCCAUAUUCCCAAACGGGAACGGAAGCGAGCACUACGGGAUGUCUAUGAGAUGGAGCCAGUCGCCCCAAAAUUCAACCCAUGGUCAGCCUAUCCGAUCACCUUCGAUCGUAGGGAUCACCCUACCAGCAUCUGUCAUGGCGGUUCAGUCGCAUUGGUCCUAGACCCAAUCAUCGACGGAUUCCACCUCACGCGAGUCCUUAUGGAUGGUGGCAGCAGCCUGAACCUGGUUUAUCAGGACACAGUGCGCAAAAUGGGCAUCGACCCUUCAAGUAUCAAGCCCACCAAAACCACCUUCAAAGGUGUAAUUCCAGGAGUAGAGGCCCGUUGCACAGGCUCCAUAACACUGGAAGGGGUCUUCGGAUCUCCGGAUAACUUCCGAAGCGAGGAGUUAAUCUUCGAUAUCGUCCCUUUCCACAGUGGUUAUCACGCACUACUUGGACGAACCGCAUUCACUCGAUUCAAUGCGGUACUGCACUAUGCAUACCUCAAGCUCAAGAUGCCAGGACCACGCGGGGUCAUAAUAGUCAACGGAAACAUGGACCGCUCUCUCCGUACAGAAGAGCAUACUGCAGCCCUAGCGGCGGAAGUACAAUGCGGCCUUCUCCGGCAAACCACCAAUCCGGCGACUACAACCCCGAACACCGUCAAGCGAGUCCGGAGUACCCCGCAACAAGAUCGCCAGGCGCGCCAAGAGCGCGACUAG